ACGUGUUUUUAAAGCGCUCUGAAAAAAGUUUUGACUUUUUAAUUUUUUUUACUAUGACAGAAUCUUAGUUGACUGAUGGUCUUUGACAAAGACAGACUUGUUUUUGUGAGCUCUGAACAAAAUUUGACUUUGAAAUAUUUUUACGAUUAAAAAGUUUCAGUUGACUUUUGAACGUUGACGAAGACGGACGUACUUUCGUGAGCUCUGACUAUUGAUGAAAAGUUUUCGCGUUAUAGAAUAGCGACUUGGUACUCAGGUUGUUGAAUGACUGGAUGACUGUAGUGUUAGGUUAUUGUUAUGAGAUAACAACUUGACUUUGACUUGAGUUGUGAAAUGAAAUCAUACUCUUAUGCGAUGAUAACUUUUGAACGUUUAGUACUGACUGACAACGAAUUUUUGUGAGCGUUAUAAUAUGAAAUGUUUGACUUACAUUAAUUUUUUUGAACGACUUGACUUCACUUUAAGUUUUGACAUCGGACUGAUCGGACGUGUUUUUUUAAGCCCUGACUGUUGUGAAUAAUUAAAUUUAUGUUGUGGUGUCAAGCGAUUGACUGUCAGUUGAGGUUCAGAUGUCGAGCUGUGCGGACGUGUUCAUCGAGCUGCUGUCUACAAAAAACGUGAGUACAAAUUUUUUUCGUUUUACUGUUUACAAGUUGCGUGAUGAUGUAUGAUGGUUGUAAUGUGUUGGGUAGAAAUUACUCAGUGCUGUUGUAAUGUGUUGGGUAGAAAUUACUCAGUGCUGAUACAGUGUCGAUAUGUUGUGAUGAGCGAUAAUAGUGGAUGAUGGUGGAACAGAAUAUUCAUUGAGCUAUUUUGAGGAAGCGAACAUAUGAUGGAAAAAUGUUGCAAAAAUAUUAAAUGACAAUGUAUUGAAUCGCUUUUGUUGAUAUGUAUGAUAUUGAUUAAAUUGUAUUUGCAUGCUGUAACAUUUCUAUUCCAUUUCAGGGGGCUGUGGUGAGUAUUGUAGUAUAAAUUUGUUUCAAUAAAUCAUGAUGAAUGAAAACUGAUUUCGAUUCGUUUUGUACAGGUUUACUUGUAUAGAAGUGUAAUGCGUUGGGUAGAAAUUAGAAUCUACUCAGUACUGAUAUAGUGUCGAUAUGUUGUGAUUAGCGAUGAUGGUGUAUGAUGGUGGAACAGAACAUGAGCUACUUUGGGGAAACGAACAUAUGAUUGAAAAAUGAUUGCAAACAUAGUAGAUGAAUGAUAUGAUAUUGCUUAAAUUGUAUUUGCAUGCUGUAACAUUUCUAUUCCAUUUCAGUGCACUGUGGUGAGUAUUGACUAUUGUAGUAUAAAUUUGUUUCAAUAAACGAUGAUGAAUGAAAACUGAUUUCGAUUCGUUUUGUGUAAUUUUAGGGAUUUUCACUCUAUAACAACUCUGUCGGUUGGUGUUCAUGAGUGCGAGCUUAAUACAGCAAUGUUUGAGUAGUACAAAAUUGUUUUCGCUUUUGUGGUCGCCAGCUGUCCGUGAUCUGUAAAGUGAAAAUACACAGAGCUAUGAAGCAUAAAAAUGUUUCGAAAUUUUAUCAAUGAUUGUAUACUAUGCAUGUUUUGAUUUAGUUCGUUUCAGAUUUGACAUGAGAUGAAAACCUGACAUGAUUUGAACAGAGCUGGGAAACGAAAAGAUUUUCAGAUGUGUGCUGGCAGUUCAAGUCUGGCAGCUGGAGUGAACAGUCGUGUUUUCUGGAGCUCCAACAAUAUGCUAGAAGGAGUGCUUAUCCAGUGAUGAUAUGACAGUUGGAGUGAACAGUGGAGCCAAGCAGUCUUGUUUUUGGAGCUACUCAACAAGCCUUGAAGGUAAGUUUAGAAUUUCUCAAUGUUAGUGAAUUGAAGUACUGUCACUUGCUUUUGGACAGUCGAACAGAACAGACGUGGUUGCGAGAGCUCUCAUAUCUGUUGUGUUAAACUGUUUUUAUGAUAUGUUAUGUUUGUUUGUUUGUUUGUGAUGUACUAUUUUUCAGAUGCUGAUGGCAGUGAUGGGUUUUCAAGCUGACCUGAACAGAAAAGCACUCAUAUGGUAAGUACAAAAUAGUUGUUAUAUGGGAUGUUUUGUGCAUGCUUUUAUGUUUCAGGUGUACUUGCUGACAGCGACGAAGACGAAUCAAGAAGAGGAACAUUGUUGAGAAAGUGAUUGGGACUUGAAAACAGGGUAAGUGUAACACUUGUGUUUGUUUAAUUUGUAACAUGCGUGCUUUGCUCUGUUUCAGAUUUCACAUGCAGAAAUUAAACAGGAUUUCAACUGCUGAAACACAAUUCAUCACAAGUAAGGUAAGUUUUAAUUCAUUGAUUUGAGUUGUACAAUGUGUUCUUUACUUUAUUUCAGAUUCGAGUCACUGGUUUACACAUGGAAGAAGAUUUCCACGUCGGUUACUCAACUCUACAGAAGCAAGGUAAGUCGAUCAAAUUUUUGUUUUCAUUUGUACUGCUGUAAUGUGAUGGUAAACCUAUGCUAUGUUUCAUGUGUGUCAUGUACAGAUGGAUAAUUCAAGUUUGAUCUGUGUUGGUUUAUGUUCAAAAACGUUUUACAUGUAUGUGUGUUUGAAGAUGUUUUGUUUCAGUGGAUGUCCAGAUGGCAAGCAGAACAGACGUGUUUCUUGGAGCUGCCAAACAGUGAGUACAAACGUUAUAUAUUUUUCAGUUGUUUACUCAUAGAAGUCUGUGAAAGAUGAUAACAAGGGUUGAAUUGCACAGUACUUGUGUCUAAAAAUGCUGAUGUGUGACGGUUUACUGAAAAGGGUAAAUGCUAGCCAGUAACACUUGAGCAACCGUGGGAUGUCGAACUAACUGAUGAUGUACUAUGAUGGUGAACACUUACUAUGUGUAUCGAAAUGCUUUUGUUGUUAUUUAUUAUAGACGAUUUGAUAUUGGUUAACAUUUGUUUGCAUGCUGUUAACAUUUCUAUUUCAUUUCAGUUGGCUGUGGUGAGUAUUGUAGUAUACAUUUGUUUCAAUAAAUCAUGAUGAAUGAAAACUGAUUUCGAUUCUUUUUUACAGUUUUAGGGAUUAUCACUCUAUAACAACUCUGUCGGUUGGUAUUCAUGAGUGUGAGCUUAAUACAGCAAUGUUUGAGUAAUACAAAAAAUGUAUGUACUCUUUUGUGGUCGCCAGUUGUCUGUGAUAUGUAUAGUAAAAAAAACACAACACAAAGCUAUGAAGCAUACAAUUGUUUCAAGAUUUUAUCAAUAAUUGUGUACUGUGCAUGUUUUGAUUUAGUUCGUUUCAGAUAUGACAUGACCUGAAUAUUUGACAGUCGAACAGAGCUGAGCAUUGCAGAAAGGUAAGUGUUUUGUUUGAUAUUUACCAUGCAUACUUUGCUUUGCUCUGUUUCAGAUUCACAUGCAGAAAAGGUCUCAUAGUAGCCUCAACUGUGAAUAAGGAUAUCAACUGCUGUGACUAAACUGUUGAAGAAGGGUAAGUGGAACAAUGUGUUUGUUUUAUAAGUACCAUGUAUGCUUUAUUUUGCUCUGUUUCAGAGUAGACAUACAAACAGUGUCUUGCUUUGCAUGCUAUUUUUCAGGUCUCUCAUGCAGUGAGGGAAAAGAAAAAGAUUUCAAUAAAGAAUCACUGCUGCAACUCAGCUCUUUAAACAAGGUAAGUGUUUACUAUGUUGUAUACAAAAUGUUUCUCUUUCUUACUAUGUUUCAGGUUAACAUUGCAGAGAUGUUUUGACAGCUUGUGACAGAAAAGAAAUUCAGCAGCUGUGUCUUGACUGUAGCCACAAGGUAAGUCGAAACAAAUAUACUGGUUUGUAUGUUGUGUUGUUAUGCCCUUCUAUGUUUCAGACUUACAUUGCUGUGACUGUUCCACAGUGGGUCAAAAAAGAGACGAAUACAGGUUUCAAGAAGAAAAUUGGCUGUUAAAACUCUGCACAAAAUAUGAGGUAAGUGAACUACUCUUUUGGUUUGUGUUGUGCUUUGUUCUGCUUAACUAUUUUUCAGAUUUGAGUGGUGGGUCGUUACAGAGCAGACUUUUUGACAAGUGAGAAAUUGAGAAACAGAGAAUGAUUCAAGAUCAGCUAGGUAAGUCUUGAUUAUUAUGCAUUGCUAAAUGUUGUUUUUCAUUUCAGUAUGGCUGUGGUAAGUACACUAACUUUCUUUAAUUUCCAUAUUGAACUGUUUUUAUGACUUGUAUACUGCUAUGCAAUGCUUAAUGUAUUUUUUAUAUUUCAGUAGCCUGUUGGUUAGUACACUAACUUUCUAUAAUUUCAUAUUGAACUGUUUUGAUGACUUGUAUACUGCUAUGCAAAAUGUCUGUUUUUCACUUCAGUAUCCUGUGGUAAGUACACUAACUUUCUAUAUUUUCAUAUUGAACUGUUUUGAUGACUUGUAUACUACUAUGCAAUGCUUAAUGUUUUUUUCAUUUCAGUAUGGCUGUGGUUAGUACAAUUGCCUUUUUUAUUUUUCAUAUUGAACUGUUUUGAUGAUUUGUAUACUGCUAUGCAUUGCUAAAUGUUUUUGUCAUUUCAGUAUAGCUGUGGUAAGUACACUAACUUUCUUUA